rnacentral:rRNA from 1 species
UACGAGGGGAGCAAGCGUUGUUCGGAUUUACUGGGCGUAAAGGGCGCGUAGGCGGUCGUGACAAGUCACUUGUGAAAUCUCCGGGCUUAACUCGGAACGGUCAAGUGAUACUGUCGGACUAGAGUACAGAAGGGGCAACUGGAAUUCUCGGUGUAGCGGUGAAAUGCGUAGAUAUCGAGAGGAACACCUGCGGCGAAGGCGACUUCCUGGCCUGUUCUUGACGCUGAGGCGCGAAAGCUAGGGGAGCAAACGGG